UGAGGUUCACAUCGAAGGUCGCAACGUCAACGAAAGCGAAUCUUAAACGAACCUAACCUAUAUGGAUAAAAAAUAUUGGACAAUAUGUAAACAUUGCUCGGAUCUUGUCCCCUGGAGCUUGGAGGACUUUUGGUGUGGAUGAUGUUCAGGGCCUACCAAAGCAAGGUUUCUCAAACAACUGUGGGGUGUUUGUUUUCAUGGUAAGAUGCUAUUCAGUAUAUUAUAUUUGUCCUAUUUUCUGUUAUAACAUAUGAAAAGUUAUUAUUUCUGUUCUUGCAGUAUGUAAAGCACACUAAUGUUAUUGCUCAUACUUUUUCUUCUUUAUUAUUCUUGACAGUUCUUGGGACCUGUU